UGGGGAAUAUUGGACAAUGGGGGAAACCCUGAUCCAGCGACGCCGCGUGUGUGAAGAGGGCCUGCGGGUUGUAAAGCACUUUUAGUGGGGACAAAAAGCUACGGACUAACACUCUGUGGUCUUGAUUUAACCCAAAGAAAAAGCACCGGCUAACUCUGUGCCAGCAGCCGCGGUAAUACAGAGGGUGCGAGCGUUAAUCGGAAUUACUGGGCGUAAAGCGCGCGUAGACGGUUUUGUAAGUCAGAUGUGAAAUCCCCGGGCUCAACCUGGGAACUGCAUUUGAAACUGCAUGGCUAGAGUAUCGAAGAGGGAAGUGGAAUUUUCGGUGUAGCGGUGAAAUGCGUAGAUAUCGGAAGGAACACCAGUGGCGAAAGCGACUUCCUGGUCGAAUACUGACGUUCAUGUGCGAAAGCGUGGGGAGCAAACAGGAUUAGAUACCCUGGUAGUCCACGCCAUAAACGAUGACAACUAGAUGUUGGGAGGGUCUGCCUCUCGGUGUCGCAGCUAACGCGUUAAGUUGUCCGCCUGGGGAGUACGGCCGCAAGGUUG
rnacentral:rRNA from 1 species